ACUCUUUCUUAAUUUUGGUGUUUCACCGAGACUCGAACCUACGUUCUCUCUGUGAAUUCCGAAUGGUAGUCACGUACCAACCCAUUCGGCUACGGCGGCCGGCGUAUGUGAUUCUUAAGAUACAAAUCGUGCCCUUGUUGUCAGCAUACAAAUAACAUAGUCGCGGCGCAAAACGCGUGAAGAAUACGAGGUGUGUUCAAAAUGUAUCGCGAAUUUUGAAUUUCCGCAGGUUACGUAUAUUCGAGUUUCGAUUUUUUGUGGCGAUAUGUUGAUACUCAUGUCUCUCACUCAUGUCGACGAGUUCGACCAUUUUGAAUGUUCAGUUAAUUGUUGACAGCUGCUUUGCUUGCACGUGUUUCGGUUCGUCUUCGAUUUUUAACUAUUCAAAAAGAUGGAUCAAAGAACCUGUAUCAAAUUUUUGUGAAAAACGAGAUUAAGUGCGCGAAUGCAUUCCGAAUGUUGACUGUGUCAUACGAAGAAGCUACUUUGAACCAAAGCAACGUUUAUCGGUGGUACAAAAUGUUCUCAGAAGGCCGAGAAGAUGUGAACGACGAAAAGCGUACCGGACGCCCGAGCACUUCAACAACAUACGAAAAAAUUGAUGAAGUGAAGAAAAUGGUAUUGGCCAAUCGUCGAAUCACCGUUAGAGAAGUUGCUGAGGACCUAGACAGAUCGAUUGGCUUGUGCCACUCGAUUUUUUUCAAUGAUUUGGGCAUGAGACGGGUCGCCGCAAAAUUCGUACCAAAACUGCUCAAUUUCGACCAAAAGCAGCAUCACAUGAACAUUGCUAAUGAGAUACUGGACUCUGUCCACGACGACCCAAAUUUGCUCCAGAGGGUGACGAAUCGUGGGUUUAUGGUUAUGACGUGGAAACCAAAGCUCAAUCAUCUCAAUAGAAGCUGCCGCACGAACCAAGACCGAAAAAAGCGCGCCAAGCUCGGUCGAAUGUAAAAGUUUUGCUUACCGUUUUCUUCGAUUGCCGGGGCGUUGUACGUCAUGAGUUUUUGCCGCAGGGUGAAACGAUCAAUAAGGAAUAUUGCCUGCAAGUUAUGCCCAAUUUGCGCGAAGCAGUCCGCCAGAAACGCCCGGAUUUGCGGAAGAACAAAAAUUGGCUCUAGCAUCACGAUAACGCCCUUGCUCACACAUCGUUGCUUGUGCGCAACUUUUUGGGCAAAAACAACACACUAAUGAUGCCAGAGCCACCGUAUUCCCCAGAUUUAGCCCCCUGUGACUUUUUCUUGUUCCCGAAACUGAAGAGGCCCAUGAAAGGACGGCGCUACGCUACGAUUGACGAGAUAAAGACGGCAUCGAAGAAGGAGCUGAACAAGAUAAAAAAAAUGAUUUUUUGAAGUGCUUUGAAGAUUGGAAAAAACGUUGGUUCAAGUGCAUAAUACCUCAUGGCGAUUACUUACGAUAUUAAUGAAUAAAUAAAUAAUUUUUGAAAAAACAGAAAAUUCGCGAUACUUUUUGAGCACACUUCGUAUAACAGGCUGACUUCGUAAAUGCAUAUUGCAAAGCAUAAGCUGCGAUUUAUUGCGCAAUCUAUGCAAAACAAAAAUGUUUUAUAUCACUGCUUUGCAAACGCAUGCAAUGACUAUUACAGAUAUUUACGAACACAGCAAUGCAAAGCAUCAGUUUGAGAACUGUCAAAGUUGUAAUAAUGACCGCGGUCGUAAAUUAUUUAUUAAUAAAUGCAAUUGAAUUGGCUGAGCUAACUUCUUCCAAUAUUAAUACGACGAGAAAAAUUUUGGAGAAGAAAAAGGAGGCGUAUGUUAUGUAUACAACAUAUUAAUUAUAGGAGAAGCGUAAAGAUGAAAAGCUUUUGCAAGUCUGUUUCCAUGAUGGAUGAUCCAUUUUCGAAUGAGGCGGAAUACUUUUAAGAAAUUGCAAAGCAUGAUCGAGUCUUAUUGGAUAUGGCAUACAAACUGACGUAGAAUCAUUCCACUCUAUAACGCCUUAUAUAUAACUAUUUGGAAGCUUAGCAAGAACUCAUCAUUUCGUGAUAUCAGCAAUCGAUUUGGAGUGGCUAUAAGUACUUCAUAUAAGGUGUUCAUACUGACAAUUAAAUGUAUUUGCCGAUUGAAGAGCACGGUUAUUAAGUUCUCAAAUACACCUCACGCCCAAAAAAUUAUAAGAACAAUUUUGAACAAGUCGCCGAAAUCCAUUUCCAUUGGUGGUGGGUUGCGUUGAUGGUACCCACGUCCAGAUAUCUCAACCUGUUAGACAUGCAGUUAGUUAUUAUAAUCGUAAAGCGACCUACUCCAUUAUCAUACAAGUUAUCCUGACAGAUACCAUGACAAUGGGGUUUUUACCAUCUAUCUCCAGUGCUACCAAUCACAUUGUGUCAUAUCAUAUGGUGUUAGAAAGGUGACACUUUAAAAUCAUUGAACCAAAAAAAAAAAAUUAAUUCGGAGAAGUUGAAAAAAGGUAUAGCUGUUCAAAAAUGAGUGAAAAUAAUGAAGAAAUUCGCUAUAUUUUAAAAUUUUUGUAUAAAAAAACGAAGAAUGCCGCGCAAGCCACCAAUGAAAUUUGUGAAGUUUACGGAGACGAUGCUGUAUCAGUUCGUGUAGCACAACAAUGGUUCGCUCGCUUCCGUUCUGGAAAUUUCGAUGUGAAAGGUGCACCUCGCUCCGGUCGACCUAUCGUUGAAAAAGUCGAUGAAAUUAUGGAAAAAAUUGACCAGGACCGUCACAUAAGCUGCCAUGACAUCGCCAAGGCACUAAACGUUCAUUAUCAAACGGUUUUCAACCAUUUAAAAAAGGCUGGUUACAAAAAGAAGCUCGAUGUUUGGGUACCACAUGAAUUGUCUGUGAAAAAUUUAAUGGACCGAAUUAACAUCUACGAUUCUUUGCUGAAACGAAAUGAAAUCGACCCAUUUCUGAAGCGAAUGGUAACAGGAGACGAAAAGUGGAUCAAAUACGACAAUAAUGUGUGAAAAAGAUCAUGGUGCAUUGGCUGGAGUUGGCUUCAAGGGAAGCCUGUGAAAAUUACUUUUCGCAGUUUAUCGCCGAGAAACCACAAAAGUUUUACACUGAUGGAAUAAUGUCUCUAGAAGAAAAAAGGCAAAAGGCGGUCGACCAAAAUGGUUAUUUGGUUUAAUAAAAUUCAUUAGAAAUAUAAAAAAAAAUUAGUUGAAGUUUGAUUAGAAAUACGAAAAGACUUUUUCGACUACCAAUACUUCAUAAUGUUAUUAUAAUAAACUAAGGAAUAGAAGGCGAAAUCAAUGAAGGCCUACACGAUGAUAGCGAAAAUAAUAACUCACAAGAAGCUAUGUAUCAGUCCAGACAGAGAAGAGAAGCUGAUUUUAAAAGGGAUCAUACUUUUUUCCGCAUAAAUUUUUAAAAGUAAAAAACGAAAUAAUAAAAGUUAAAAAACUAGAAACAAACAUAUGUAUAUAUUUUUCUUAAGACUUCAUUUCAAUAUGUAUUUACAGUACUAGAAAAUAGGCAUGCGGUUAACAGCUCUUACGAUUUUUGAUUUGAUUAUUUUAUGUUUGUUACGUCUUUAUAAAAUUCGACGCAAUAAUGUGAAAAAUAUAAUUAAAAAGUUCAAACGUUUUUGAAAAAACCGGUAUGAAUAAAGGGGUUAAAUUUUAGUAUAGUAGUAUUUUUUAUCGAAUUUAACUAAAGUAAUAAUAGUCACAAAACUAAAAAAAUAACAAGUUUUCUAUAUGAAAGUUAAAUUGUUUAAGAUAGUAGAAGGAACUUUUUUUAAGCAAUUUGACAGACUUUUAAAAAGAAUAAACACACAAUUAAUGCAAUUGCGAACAAAUUUUUAA